rnacentral:rRNA from 1 species
UACGUAGGGUGCGAGCGUUGUCCGGAAUUACUGGGCGUAAAGAGCUCGUAGGUGGUUUGUCGCGUUGUCCGUGAAAACUCACAGCUUAACUGUGGGCGUGCGGGCGAUACGGGCAGACUGGAGUACUGCAGGGGAGACUGGAAUUCCUGGUGUAGCGGUGGAAUGCGCAGAUAUCAGGAGGAACACCAAUAGCGAAGGCAGCUCGCUGGGAUGGUACUGACGCUAAGGCGCGAAAGCGUGGGGAGCGAACAGG